rnacentral:rRNA from 1 species
UACGUAGGUGGCAAGCGUUGUCCGGAAUUACUGGGCGUAAAGCGCGUGUAGGCGGCCAUCUAAGUCGGGCGUGAAAUCCCACGGCUCAACCGUGGAAGUGCACUCGAAACUGGAUGGCUAGAGUCCUGGAGAGGAAGGUGGAAUGCUUGGUGUAGAGGUGAAAUUCGUAGAUAUCAAGCGGAACACCGGUGGCGAAGGCGGCCUUCUGGACAGUGACUGACGCUGAGACUCGAAAGCGUGGGGAGCAAACAGG